GAUGAACGCUGGCGGCGUGCCUAAUACAUGCAAGUCGAGCGAACAGACGAGGAGCUUGCUCCUCUGACGUAGCGGGGGACGGGUGAGGAAAACGUGGAUAACCUACCUAUAAGAAUGGGAUAACUUCGGGGAACCGGAGCCAAUAACGGAAAAUAUAUUGAAACGCAUGGGUUAAUAAGGAAAGACGGGUUUGGUUGUACUUAUAGAUUGAUCCGCGGCGCAUUAGCUAGUUGGUUAGGUAACGGCUUACCAAGGCAACGAUGCGUAGCCGACCUGAGAGGGUGAUCGGCCACACUGGAACUGAGACACGGUCCAGACUCCUACGGGAGGCAGCAGUAGGGAAUCUUCCGCAAUGGGCGAAAGCCUGACGGAGCAACGCCGCGUGAGUGAUGAAGGUCUUCGGAUCGUAAAACUCUGUUAUUAGGGAAGAACAAAUGUGUAAGUAACUAUGCACGUCUUGACGGUACCUAAUCAGAAAGCCACGGCUAACUACGUG
rnacentral:rRNA from 1 species